CGACUCGGUGGCCCCCAGGAGGCUCGCGGAGCCAGGGGGUGGUGUCGCAGGGGUUGGUACCUACAAGUGUAACUGAAACGAGAGAUGGGAGAAACAAGAAAGUUCAAAGAUGUUAUGAACAGACUUGGCAUUGGGGAUUGUCUAGCAUCCUGUGCUGAUUUCUGAGAAGAGCCAUAAAUUACUGCAAUUUGUCAGAUUUUCCAUGUUUGUCUGCUGGUGAUCAUCAGCUUUCCACAGAUAAGAGUCUGGCUUAGAGAUCUCCUCUCUUAGGCCCCACAUCUCACCAGUCCUCAAGUUUCUGGUGUCCUAUUUCUGAAUGCCUGUCAGGUCUGGCCUCUCCUCUCUGAUGUCAAUUCCAUGGUUCUCACUCUGGUUUACUGUAUUCACACCUGGAUAGCUGUAGGUCCCUCUUACCUGCAGUCCCUGCUUCCUUUCUUAUCCUGGGUCUCCCACUCAGUUAUGUUCAGAUUGUUGCUAAAGUCAUCUUUUUUGUCAUAACUUUUUAAAGAAAGUUGGACAGAUAAUACAUGAACAUAAAGCAGUACAAAAAUAUAUAACAAUAAAAAAGUGAGUCUAUUAUUGUGGCACAGUUUAUGAUAGCACAGAUCCAGAAGGAACCAAAUUUUCAUCAAAAGGUAACCUGAGUAAACCAGGAUAGGGCCCCAUAGUACACUAAUCUGGCCCUAAAAAGGAAUGAAAAAUAUAUCUCUUUAUAGCAUGUAUUGUUAUGUGAAGAAAGCCCCACACCUACAAUGA